GAAAGAGGAUUAUACUCGCACUAGGAAUAAGCAGUAAGUGAGCGAAUAGCCAUGAUGGCUUAGAAAAGGCUUAAUCCCCAUGGGGUUAUGGGGUGAGCUAGAAAAUAUUGCUUAACUCUAGAGUAAAACUGGAAAGCUUCUGUGUACAGUUGUCUGCUGUUUGGAGACUAGGAGCUUAAGUACAAACCCAGAUGCCUCCUCCCACUCUUGGAAAAUGCCAACUU
rnacentral:lncRNA from 1 species